GAAAACGACUCUCGGCAACGGAUAUCUCGGCUCUCGCAUCGAUGAAGAACGUAGCGAAAUGCGAUACCUGGUGUGAAUUGCAGAAUCCCGUGAACCAUCGAGUCUUUGAACGCAAGUUGCGCCCGAAGCCGUCAGGCCGAGGGCACGUCUGCCUGGGCGUCACGCA
rnacentral:rRNA from 1 species